rnacentral:lncRNA from 1 species
UGUUUCUGUAGGUUGUACAAGCAUGGCACGUGCAUCUGUUUGGCUUCUGGUGAGGCCUCAGGAAGCUUACAGUCAUGGUGGAAGGCAAAGAGGGAGCCAGUACAUCACGUGAACUCGUAGAGUGAGAACUCAUUCACUACCAUGAAGACAACACCAAGCCAUUCCUGAGUGAAACUGAAAUUGGCUAUAUCAUUUGAAACUUCAUCUGUGAAGUCCCUGGUGGUUUCCUAGAUGACUUCACAGUUGAGUUGCCUCUGAUUGGAAAAGCAAGAAAGUGAAGUUUCCUAAGCCAUCACUAGAAUUGCACAUUUCUGCUGUGUUCAUCUGAGGUCAUGUCCAUAUAGUCAAAUGGCUGAAGGAAAUUGAAGACUAUUAUUCACCCCGGUGGACUCAUCAUGUUGGGGACUUUCAAUUGCUACUUUAAAAAGAACGCUUCACUGAAAUAGGUCUCAUCCCAUCAGGAACAUAGAAAAACAAGCAGCAGGCCGGGCGCGGAGGCACAGGCCUAUAAUCUCAGCUACUUGGGAGGCUGAGGCAGAAGAAUCGCUUGAACCCAGGAGGCGGAGGUUGCAGUGAGCCGAGAUCGCGCCACUGCACUCCAGCCUGGGCGACAGAGAGAGACUCUGUCUCAAAAAAAAGUUAAAAAAAAAAGAAAAAAAGGAAAACAAAAGAAAAAAGAAAAACAAGCAGUUGUUUAUCUUUUGGCUUAAGCCAAAAGAACCUCAAAUGAAAGAAAACAAACAGAUGCCAUUAGAAAAUGCACUAAAGAUAUGAUGAAAGCUUAUCAGAAAUAAUAAUAAAAAAUCAAAUGUAGCACAUCCUAUGUACCUGGCACUGUUAUAGGAGCUGUGUCUGUAUUAACACAUAAGUGUCUGAGGUAGGUACUGUUAUUAUCCCUAUUCGCCAAUGAGAGAAAGAAGGCAAGAGAGCUUAAGGAAGUUUUCCUAAUUGCCCAGCUAGAAGGCAGGACAGGUACAAUUUGGUGCUAGGUGAUUAGGUUUCAGAAUCAUCCCUCAGUCAUCAUAUUUAAUCACAGGCUUCAUGCCAUUAAUGUCUUUGCUCCAAAGUCUUCAUUUGAUUGUUUUUUUCUAACUUGUUAUUUUUUUGAGCAAACAUUCUUGUGAACUUUCAUAUUU